UGGGGAAUAUUGCACAAUGGGCGCAAGCCUGAUGCAGCCAUGCCGCGUGUAUGUAGAAGGCCUUCGGGUUGUAAAGUACUUUCAGCGGGGAGGAAGGCGAUAAGGUUAAUAACCUUGUCGAUUGACGUUACCCGCAGAAGAAGCACCGGCUAACUCCGUGCCAGCAGCCGCGGUAAUACGGAGGGUGCAAGCGUUAAUCGGAAUUACUGGGCGUAAAGCGCACGCAGGCGGUCUGUCAAGUCGGAUGUGAAAUCCCCGGGCUCAACCUGGGAACUGCAUUCGAAACUGGCAGGCUAGAGUCUUGUAGAGGGGGGUAGAAUUCCAGGUGUAGCGGUGAAAUGCGUAGAGAUCUGGAGGAAUACCGGUGGCGAAGGCGGCCCCCUGGACAAAGACUGACGCUCAGGUGCGAAAGCGUGGGGAGCAAACA
rnacentral:rRNA from 1 species